UGAGAGACAGCAUGGAAUAAGAAACCAAAUGUUAGCAGCUAUGUUAAACGGAAAUAUACAGUUAUAUCUACACUUGUUACCUCAUUAGACAAUUGUGUACUUUCCCUGCUAGAAAGGCAACAAAACCCCAUCUUACACAGGAAGUCAUGUAAGGCACAGGGGUUUGGCUCAUGCCUAGGUUCUUAAAAUCUCUACCAAAUACACACGUGUGCCUUUAAGUUUUUCACAACAUACUAAAACAAAACUCCUUGUACAUUUUUAUCUGCUACAAAAAAAAAGAAAUUCUCUAAUAAACUAAAACAGACAAUCUGCGGUAAGUAAAAAAAAACCAACCUCAU
rnacentral:lncRNA from 1 species